rnacentral:lncRNA from 1 species
ACGCUUCAGGAGAAGGAGAUGUGCCCAUUAUACAAAGGACAUAUGGAGAAGUGAUAGAUGAGAGGUUCCCAAACCCAUGUUCCGGCAAAACGUGAUCGCUAUUGUUUACGAUCCAGGUCACGCUCCUUGGGGGAUAAGGCAGGAAUUUCAACUUUGGGCAAUCGGCAGCAAACAACAGAUGUAAAUUAGGGAUUAAGAACUCUUCAUCUUCAUUAGACGUUCUCGUUGUCCACCACCCUUCCAAGUUGUCCAUUUCCAUCAAAAGAAUUAUUCUUAGCUUCGAGCAACUUCCGUGAUCCCCAUAAAAUUCCCUCCCGACACUUUUGAGAUUGGGCAUUCUACCCAACCACAAUGCUCUCAAAUUUGGCAGGCGCCCAAGUGGAGGGAGGUGGCUGCACCCUUUCAGAUUGAGAAGAACGAUGGUGGAAAGAUGAGGUAGGUAGGAAGGAAGGUCCAGCAUCCAUCUAGAGAAGUCUAUGCUCAUGUAACCAUUAAGAUGAAGGUGUCGGAGAUUUCUAGGAGGCACAAGCUUCUCCAGCACCGAUUUGUCAACCGAUGCAUCUGCAUGCUCCACCAUACUACUUUCACCAUGUCCCCAUGAAAGCCACAGACUCGUAAGAUUUGAGCUGUUCAACAGUUUUGCCUGGUCUGCCCCUUCCAGAUUCUUGACAUUCUGAAGAUCUUUGAUCUGCAGCUCAAGGCACCCUGUCUUCUCGAGCUCUAAAAUUUGACUCCAUAGAUCACCACGUCCAUCAAGCUCACAUGACCUUUCCAGGUUUAGUUGUUCCCUAAGUUUAUCAACUUCAGAACGUAUAUGUAUUGCAAAUACUGCUCGUUCGACAUGUACAAGUGUAGACAUGUUAAAAAUGCCAUCCGGCAAGCCAUCAAGGAAAAAGCAGCCUUCCAGAUCCAAACUCUGAAGUCGUAAAACACCAAUAGAAGCAGGCAGAUGUUCAAGUUUUACACAGAACGACAAAUUUAGAUGCUUUAACAUCAUGAGUUUGCAUAGAGACUCGGGCAACAUUUGAACCUUGGAACAGCUUGUCAUGUUCAGAUACUCAAGCUUAGAAAGUUGAUCAAUGCAAUCUGGGACCUUUUCAAGAUUAUGGCAAUCCGACAGCUCAAGAUGUGUUAGAUCAUGAAGUUGACAACAAGAUUCUGGUAGUGAGUGGAGUUUGUAGCAAUCGGAUAGGUUCAAAAACUGAAGCUUAUGCAACUUGCCAAAGGAUUCUGGAAGGGUAGGCAGUUCAUGGCAGCUUGCCAAGUUUAAGAAGAGCAAAGCACUGAGGUUACCGAAAGAGGUGGGAAGUUCAUGAAGGUUGACACAUCCUGAUAGGUCAAAGUAUUGCAGCUUUUGGAGGCAACCAACGUUUGUGGGCAGUGCCUUCAGAGAAGUGUUUGAAAGUAUCAAGGUUUGCAAGUUUAGGAGACGGUUCAAGGAUUUAGGAAAGUUUGGGAUAGGAAGGUUGGAAGCAUCAAGAUACCUUAAUAGCUUUAGUUUACAAACAGAACCCGGUAGCUCUGACACAUGGCAUCCACUCAAAUCCAAAACUCUCAGAUAUAAUGCUUGUGAGAAUGCUUGCUUAGGAAGAUGCAGUUUAUUGCAUUCUCUGAAAUGCAUGGCCCUAACCUUUGGUGGCAAAGACUUAAAGGCUGAUGAAGACUCCUCAUGAUUCAUCAAUAGCUGAUAGUGACAGUUCCGAUUGUCUGUUCUAUUGUUGUGCAUCAUUGUUUUUACAUAUGAAAAUUCUUCACUGGCAACAUAUCUUGUGAGAUCAUGUACCACAUCAUGCAUAUGGAAUUUCAGUGUGGGUUUGAACCUCCCGGAAUCAAGUACCUUGAAACACAAGGAAAUUAAAAGAAUCAUUAAUUAGAAGAUUAGAAUAUGAUAGUAGUCAGAGACUGGAUCAAAGGUUUCAGCUGGGCUUUGUUAUGGAUAAAUUAAAAAACUGUCAGUAAGACAACUAAUUGUUACAGAUGCGGAGGUUCAUAUCACAAUUAUAUAUACCCUAAAGAGAUUUUUUGUAUUAUUUGUGGAAUUGACACUUAUAUAUACUGUAUCAAUAAAAGGUGUGUUUGGCCAACAGCCAAAAUCUGCUGCCAUUUGCUGCUCAUGGUUUAUGUAUGUACUUUUCAGGCUCAAACAGUUAAAUGGGUGUAGUUACCAUGAAGAAAGAUGAAUUAAAGUCCACACAGGUGGAAACAGGCUUUGGAGAACCUAGUCCUUGCAUGUUGGUAUGGAAAGAAAGAGAACAGUAAGGGCAAUAUGAGUGAAGAUAUUCGGAUUCUGGUCUGCAAGCUAAUUGGUGCUUUGGUUCAAGUUCUCAAGUGGCCUUCAGCUACAACAGUGAAUCCAAGAUUACUGUUUCAGACAGUGGAAACAUAACUAAUCAGUUUUGCAAGGUUAGUUCAACUGUUGGUUCAUUGAAGAAGUAUAUACAGAAACAUUGAGGGCUCAUAGUAUAAUUAAAAUAAAAAAGGAAAUUAUGUAUAGCAAAAAUUUCUUGCAUCUUCAGCUUCAUGCAUACAUUUGUGUUUCAUAGUUUUUGAAUGAGGAAGCAGUUGCUGAAGCUGGUGGAUAUAAUAGGAGACAGACGUGCUAAAAAAGGGUGUCCUUCCUUGUUUUGAACAUAGUUUGUAGCACUGGCUUUGUUAACGAAAUUGAGGAACACCCUUUUUCAUAAACAAAAUCAGUACAUACAAUUAUACGAGGAAUGUAGCCAUAUUCACCUCAGGGGUAGUUGAAUGAGUAAGGAAGGACAUUCCCAAGAAAUCAUUAAUACAGUCCUGACCAACUUGGUGGAGUGAGAUCCCAUGAUCACCUUGAAUGAAUCCAAGAGCAACCCAUUGUUGAAUCAAGCUGUCAUGAUCUAUGUUAUGGCUCUUAGGAAAGACAGAGCAAUACAUGAAACAUAGUUUCUGGUGUGAGGGCAUGUGGUAAUAACUUAGCAUCAAGCCACUCAUAAUCCCAUAAUCAUCAUCUUUGAUCUCAAGAAUAUUACUGUCUUUAAGUGCAAUCCAUGCUUCUUUUGUGCAAUGCUUAUUCAUCACGUAACCAAGAGCUUUAGCAACUAGCGGUACUCCACCACAUUUCUUAGCAAUUUCUUCUCCAAUCUUGAUAAGGUCGACAUCCAGCCUAUUUCCUUGCAAUGAAGGAUUCAUAAUAGAAAAACAAUCAUCACUUGAUAAGGCCUCCAAUCUAGUUGGUGGAACGGUAUGAAAUUCUGAAGGUUGGAUGAUAGAUAAUGCUUUAGCAACUUGAUCACUUCGGGUGGUUACUAUUAUCUUGCUCCCUUCCUUACCGUACUGUAACAUUUUCAUCAAUUUCUCCAAACUAUCUCCCCUUUUCUCCCAUAGGUCAUCCAAGACAAUUAAAAAAAUCUUGCCUGAAAGUAUGCGUUGAAGGCAAGAAUUUAGAUUCUGUAGUCUAGUAUCAUUUGCUUGGAGGCUACCUUCAACCUGAGAGAUAAUAGUAGCUACAAUCUUGUUCACAUCAAACUCCAUCGAGACAUGGACCCAUGCUUUGACCUCAAACAUAUUUGUCUCCUUAGCAACAAAAACAGAUUUUGCAAGUGUUGUCUUACCCAUACCACCAAGUCCAACAAUGGGAAUGAUGGAUAUUUUUGCUGGAUCAUCAUUCUGCAAUGCCAAAUUUAGUAUCCUGGUUUUUUCACUUUCUCUUCCUACCAUCUCAAUUUUAUCACUAGAAACCACAGAUGUUUCUUGGUUAUUCAUGUUCACAGGUCUUGUAUCUGCUAGUUGCAGAAAAUUGAACUUUCUAUGUUCCUCUGCUAUUUUAUCUAGCUCUUCCCUGAUUUUCCUCAUCUUGUUUGACAGGGUGAAGCGUGUGAUUAGUGGAUGGAAUGACAUAAACACCAAUUUAACCUGCAGUAUGUAGUUUGUUACACCAUCAGAAUUUUUUUUAAGUGGGUAUGUGCUGAUUUUAUAUAUUGUUUAAGUAUUAACCGUGCAAUUUUCAAAGCAAAUAUCAUAAUUUCAUAAAAUCAUAAAUUAAUAUUGAGCAUUGACUUUGUGUGAGAAGGCAUAUUGUAAUCUACCCUUAAAAUAGCAAAAAUGUAAUUAUAAAAAAUAGCAAAAAUGAAAGCUAAAUGAAUAAAGAAGCACACUUCAUAAACGUUGCAUUAUCUAUGAGAAUGGAUAAAGGAUUGCUAAAUGUAAUUGUAUGUAUGCGGCUAGGAAACACAAACCUGUGUCUUAAAAAAAUUUCCAUCACAAGCUUUUUUUACUUCGAAUUCACACCAUUCGAAGAAUUUCAAUUCAAAAUGCUACACAAAAUAUAUAAAAUGUCUAAGCAUAAUUUGUGAAUCUAUAUUAUGUCUUUUAUCUUUUAUGCUUAAGGAUUGACAGACUAAAUCAUGUAAUUAGACAUUUCGAAAGUGAUUUGCAAUAUUGCAUUCAACAUUAUGAUAAGAAUUAGUUCUCAAAAUUGUGCUUGAGACCUGAUGUCAAGAUCAAACAUGAUCACUUUAUUAAAACAUGAUCACUUUAACAUGAUCAAAAUAUGUUUGAUCACUUUAUGAUCAAACAUGAUCACUUUAUGAUCACUUUAUUAAAACAUGAUCACUUUAUUACAAAUUCAUUAAACUUUCGGAUAUGGGAACAAUCUACCAUAAACAAUUUUAAUUAUUAGUCUAUAUGUUAUAAAAAUACAUUUAAGCACUGCAGUUGCAUAACAAAUCAAUAAACACUCAUAAGUUGUAUUUUUAAACCAAGGUACACAGUUGCACUGUCUGCUAUAGCAAUUCCAUCUGUUUACAUAUGCUAAAUAAAAGCUAAAAUGUAGUAGAAUUUUUCACACACAAAAAAAGAAAAUAGCAUGCCAUCGCUGAGCUUUGGUUACUGCUUAGGAAUGCCCUUUUUAUGCGAGGUAGAUGAAGCGAUUUAUUUAAACCUGCACGGUUAAGGAAUAUUAAAUCUAAAAGAAGAAAGUUGUAUACCAUACUAUACAACUUAUUUCAGAUCUAGCCACACUAUCUCAGGACAGUUUGAUAAGUUGACUUGAAAUUAAACAGUGAUGUAAUACUCCAACAAAGAUGUACUCAAACUUAUUAGUUUUUCAUGUUGAUAUGUUGAUGAAAUUUCAAUGUUGCAUGAUUGCAGCAAGCUAAAGUUUCAUGAUAGAUUUUCACCAGUUUCUACCACAACAUAUUUAAGACUAAGGGGGAAAUGAAAAAAUAGGAUAUACAUGUAUAAUGUGGCACACAAAAUAUUCCUAGAGAGGUAUACUAGCAAUUUUAUCAAAUGAAAUAAGCUCUCUAUAUACAUUCAGAGCUCAGAAUAUAGGUAUUACCGGGCAUGUGCUACUCCUCCAUAUCUUUGUAUUUGCCUCCAGCUCAUCAAUCAUGUCUUCAAUGUUGUAGGCAGCAGAUUUGAGCUUCUUGAGCCAAAGCCGGACCGAUUCACUACGUUGGGAGCGUUUCUCAGCAUCCGCCGUCACGGCCUUCACAGUGAUCAAGGUGCCCUUCAUCUCCUCAAAAUCAUCACUGAACCUCUGCAGAAGCUCCACCCUUUCCCAGGCAGCCUGACCAAGCAUGCCAGCCACACGCUGCACAACAGCUCCAGCAAUCAUCUCAGCACCCCCACUCAUGACUAUAGGCCUUGAUCUCUCGCGCACAGGUAUUAUUUGUGCUGCGCCCAAGAUAGCUCAUAGAUAGAACAAAGAUGAUGUGCUCUGCUAUUUAUACUGCUUUCUUUCUUAGCCUGAAGCUUUUGCACCUGAUACCUGGAGUGUAGUGUAGUUGAGUGCUGGGGAUAUCUACUGAAGGCAAAAUGCAUAUAUUCUGAUGCAGAGUUGCACCUUGCAAGCCUCGACCUUUGAGGAAAGGUAUAUGCAUGAUGGCCUCUCAGGAAAGGAACAUAUUUGGUGAAAAAAAGUAAAGAGAAGAACCUCAGAUUAAUUCGAAGAUGUACAAUGAAAAAUGGUAGUUAACAUGAUGCUGAGACCUUCACCUUUUAGUUCAGGAAUGAUGUGGUCCUUCGUCUCUGUGAAGAAAUGAACCUUCGUAAGAAAAGCAUUCUGCAGUUUGCAUUCUUUGAGUAGGACAUACAAAUUGCAGAGAACAAAUGCUGCAUAGCAUGUGCAGGACAUUCAUAAGCCAAGUAUUCUAUCCAGGCUAUGUGAGAAUGCAGGAGCAAAUAGUGGAAUUUGUCAGUUGUCACCUCUUUCUAGUUAAAACCUAUCCAUAAUUCUGAUCGGAGAGUUGAUAUGGACGGCUCGAUUCCAAGGGAUGCGUGAACACCCGACUUCCCGCCCGCCAAUUUGUCACCGCAGCGAUCCGCGUCGAUCUGGGCCGUACAAGCCCGAUCCAGCGUCCUGGACAGGCGUCCACCCCCUAGGGUCCGAUUGGGCGGCGCCAAUGGCGAUGCCUCCGCCGCCAGCUCACCUGGGGCCAAGAUGGUUCGAAGCGUGUCCCAGCUUCCCAGGGAGAAGUUUUCGUCGACUACCUUCAUCUUCAUCUAGGUGGCCGGCGCCGUCGCGGCGGCGCGGUUUGACGCAGGGCGCGGGCGGGCGGCGAGCCGGCGAGACUGCGAGCCGUGCAGCGCGUGCUGGUGCCUGGUACGGGUGGAGCUAGGUUCUCGCCCAGAUGGACGGGUUCCAUGGUACGGCAGCACGAGCGCCGCCGGAUGCCAGGAUCUCACCACCUAUGGUGUGCUUUGGGGACGGCCGGCCAGAUUGCGCGCGGCGAUCGGCCUUCGGGAUUAGCAAUCCCUCCGAGAGAAGAACGCGAAAGGAGGUGAAUCCGUGAAUACCGGGCGUAGAACGGCCGUAGGUUCACCGGAAGCCGGACGGCGUGUUGCCUACCGGCGACAUGCUCGCCGUCUGCCGACGUCCAUUUCCGCUUUGUCUGCUCCCGUUGUCGCUCCAGAUUCCGCCGGCGGCGCCUGCGUGUUUACCGUUGCAGGUGCGAGGCAUCACCCAAUAAAACCAGCAAACAAUACUACCCUCAAACUUGUCAACAUAGGAAUCUACGUUACUUAGGGCAAGUACAUUGCUACACGUCAGCGGUCUCAUAGGUCGUCUCAUGCAGUGCCACGUAGGAUUUUUGAUGAUGUGGAGGAGAGAGAGCGAGGAGAGAGAAAGAGGUCGUUGCUUCGUGAAACAACCACCUCAUGAGCUAAAUUGUAGGACUACGAGACAACUGAACAACCAUUGUACGAGUUAUUGUUGCCAUGCAACUCAUAAUAUUUUAUUUUUCUUAUACACAAAUUAAGAAAUUAUAUACCACUACCAGACAACUUAUAGGACAACCCAUUGUGCAGGUUGUCUGUUAAAUCAUCUCAAGAUUACGUGUCAAUGCAUGAGACCGUCUAUUAGACGACACCAAUGUACUUGCUCUUAGAUUAACUAAAACAGGAUCAUUGACACCCAAAUAUGAACAGAACUUAGGUAAUUGAGUUAGAAGCAUAUCCAACGGCAACAUUAUACGAUGACCUAGACAUUAGAGUCGGGGACAAAGUUGUACUAGCUCGUAGGAGAUCGCGUCGUCCCUCUAGCCUCCACCUCGUUUGGCCAGAGACAGCAAGAGUACCCCGUCGCCAACGCCACCGACGGCCGAAGCACGCUGUACCCCGUGGAACUCGCCUCCGUCGUCGGCUCGUGCGCAGCGGACCGCCUCCUGAGAUCGCUCCCCGCGGGCGCCGCCGGCGUCGCGGGCUUCUCCCGGUGUUCGCUCACCCUGACGUCGCAGCUCUCCUCGCAGCGCGUGUUCGGCAACAAAUUCGCCCUGUGCCUGCCGGACUUCGCCUUGUUCGGCAACACGUCGGUGAACCUGGGGCUCCAGUUCCUCCCCGACCUCGCCUCCGUCAUCCCGUACACCCCGCUCGUGAGGAACCCCCGGAACGGCGCUCACUACCUCCCCGUCAAGACCAUCUCGGUGCGCUGGGAUCAGGACGUCGAGGUGUCCAUGCGCCCCGGCGCGCUCGACCUCGACUUCAACACCGGCCGCGGCGGCGUGGUGCUGAGCACGGUGACGCCGUACAUGGCCAUGCGCUCCGACGUGUACCAGAAUAAACGUGUCACGUCAGUAUAUCUGCUCCUCGAUCCAGCAUCUCCAACAGAUUGUAUCCACGGAUAUCCGCAUCUGAUUAAUCGUUAAGUCAACUCCAACACUUACUUUCCUUCUCCUUUAGCAACGCAAAAUAAAGCCUGAAUGUCUCUGCAUAUACAAACACAUAUAACAGGAUCAAACCAUCGAUCUCAAGUUCUCAUUUUCUCAACAACCCAAAGCUCUUCCAGUCGCUAGAAGAUGAGGAAGCACCAUGCCACCUUCGCUGCAACUGCAACCCAGCAUGCAUCCUCUGCAGCUAGCCGUCGCAGUGCGCGCGGCUUCGGCGGCAGGUUCGCGAUGUGCCUCCCGGCCUUCGCUGCAUUCGGCGAUACGCCGGUGUACCUGGGGAUGGAGUCGCGGGGCCUCGUCGAGUACACGGGCUCCAUCCCGUACGCGCCGCUCCUCGCGAACCCGAGGAACCCCUGCUAGUGGCCAUUACAUCCCCGUCAAGGGCAUCUCCGUGAACUGGCACGGCGUGGACGUGGUGGCCUCCCUGCCCAACGGUGCGCUGGAUCUCGACGGCCACACCGGCCGAGGCGGUGUCGUGCUGAGCGCGGUCACGCCGUACACCAUCAUGCGGGCGGAGGUGUUCUGCCCGUUGAUCCAGGCGUUCGACGAUGCAAUAAGGGCACGUACAACAGUCGUGGCAGCCGUCGUCUCACGACGGAAGUUUUGCAAAAUCCCCCUUGCUUCACUGCAGUAACUGAAGAGAGAGAGGGAAGUCGUCGCGUGGGGAGACGACGGCAAGCGCUCGUGCUCCCAGGCGAAGAAGACGGCUGGCUGCGCGUUGUACGGAGCGUCGCCUCCUCGUCGACACCGUGCGGAUCCUGUUGUGCGCGCACCAAAUCUCCCGAUUGCGCGCCAAAUCUCCCGCCGUAUAUGUUUCGUCUUUGCCAUUUUCUCCACCUCGACAGUCUCCGCCGCCCUUGCGUGCCAUUGCCAAGAGCUGCCUCUUCCCUCUCCAACGAUGUCUAGCAGGAUGGUAUCGCUUUCGAAGAGGAAGGUCACGGUACCUUCGAAGAGCAAGACGGCGGCGGCAGCAGGAAUGACGCGGGCGGUUGCAGCGGUGGCGAGUGCGGCUGCGACCAAAGUUCCUCGUGGAAGCGGUUCGGCUCUAGCACCCAACCUCGUCAGCCUCAGCAACAGUGCGACGGCGGCGUUCGUCGGUCGCGGAAGUAGCUCGUCCCCAACAACCAACCCCUCGGCAAGUUCGAUUCAUCCUCAAUCCAUGGCAGACAGCUUCGAUUCUCCACCAAUCCAUGGCAGACAAGGCUACCCAAUCGGAUUUGGCGUUGUUGGUUCUUCACAUGGCAGAUGUGGUGGCUCCAUCAGUCCAAGUUCCCCUUCGUUUGGGAAACAAUCCAGUUGGGAUCCAGCAUGGUAAUUCCAAAAAUAUUUGCUAAUUUUCUAAUUCACAAGUUUACAUAUGUUGCUGCUUGUUGUUUUGCUGAGAGUAUCUAACUAGGUAUGCACUGCAAUUAUAUUUUCUAGUUACUGAUAGUGCUAAUGUUUUUGGGAUAGGAACUAGAAGAUCUAUGUGUUCACUUCAGUAGAAUUAAUAACUAAAGUACCGAAUGUGUAUUUAGUAAUCACUGAUUUUUUUCAAGGUACUGAAUGUUUCCAGUUCAAUAGAAUUGGUGGCUGCAUGUAUGUGUUCAGUGAUGAUCACUGAAUCAAUAGCUGAAUAUGUUCAGUCGGUCAAUUUAGAAUUAUCUUCAGUGUGCAGUCAGUCAUUUUUUUGUUAAAUGGAUGCCAUUUAAGAUCAAAGUUGAAUCUAUGCUAACUAAAAACAAAGGAAAUGCUAGCUCGUGUAUCCCCUGGUAGAGAACUGUUUCAGUGAAUAUUAAGUUCAUGUAUACAAUUUUGCAGGGACAACAGCACACACCCUCCUGGUGGAUUUAUGGGCUUAUUCAACAACCAAUCCCAUUUAUCACAGAAUUCACAUUUUGUUGGUGCUCCAUCUCAUUAUGCACCUUUCAAGGCACCAAGGCCUGUCGAUGUUGGUGUCAGUUUUGCCUCAAUGGAUGCACUGCAGCCUAACAACAGUGGAAAUUCAUCUCAAGAAGUACAAGUUUUAUCUGAACAGGAGGCUAUUGAAGUUGAUAGUGAUACUGAGAAUGUCAGGACAGAGAAGCGGAUCUUGUGGACACCAGAAGAAGACGAGAAACUGAUGAGUGCUUGGUUGAAAAAUUCAACAGACUCAUCCGUUGGAGCUGAUAGGAUUAACGAGCACUAUUGGGGUGAUGUUGUCAAGUCAUACAACAUGACUAUCCCGUCACAGAGGAAAAGAAAUUCAAAGCAAGCCAAGGAUCGAUGGCACAAGAUUAAUCGGUGGAUUGAUCUAUAUGAAUAUGCAUAUUUGAAGGCUCGCAGAUUAUUCACAAGUGGCUACUCCGAUCAGAUGUGGAUUGAUACAGCAGACAAGUUCUAUUUGGAAGACAACAAGAAGGCAAAGCUAGGUCCCUUUGUGUUAAGAAUGUUUGGAAAAUAUGCCGAGAUGUGGCAAAGUGGAAAACAUAUAAUGAAGACCUCAAGAAUGCUCGUAAAAGAAAGUCAUAUCGCAUUGAAGGAGAAAAGGAUGAAAAUGAUGAUAUUGAAGAAAUGCUAGAGCGACCUAUUGGACAAAAGGCAGCUAAAAAGGCUGCUCUUGCUGCAAAAAUAAAGUCUAAAGGAUCAAACCUGGAUAAUGAUGGAAAAUCAAAGGAAUCGGCCAUUGAUGUGGAGAAGCUCGAUAAAUUUAGUAAAAUUCAGGAAGAUUUAAAUGCAAACCGCAUGAAGGUACUGGAACUACAACAGAAGUUAUCAUCUGAAAAGCUUGAAACCACUAGACUGGCUCAUCUUACUGCUCAAUGCUCGAGAAGGAAUCAAAGAUGAUGCAAGCUUACAACUCUCUCAUCUCUCAAGAUACAAGUUCAAUGUCUGAUGAAGAAAAAGCUGAACGUGUUGCUGCCAUGAAGUGUCUUAGGAAGUCUUUAUUUCCUGAAAUGAGCUAGUCAGGUAUGCACACAUUAUGUAGUUUUAUUUUUUUUCAGUUAUAGAAUAGCUGAUAACUGAUUAUAUAAUGAUUUCAAGUACAGGAUAAUUAAUUUUGGGCGCUGGAAGCCAUGGUGAGUUGUCUUCUGCUGGACAACAGAAAAAUAUUUGCUAGUUCUUUUAGUAAACAGCCCAGCUGAUGAUGGCCUGUUGCCUUCGUUUACACAGGCAUUAGAUGAAACCUACUUGUGUGAACAUGUCUACUUGUCGAAUGUUUGAAUAUGUCUACUUGUGUGAACCUGUGUGAAUGCGUGGUAAACACCUGAUCUGCCAGAAGCAUGCGUUUCAAGAUUUUUCAGUUACUUGUAUGUUAAAUAGUCCACUGUCUGCAUGUCUCCCCUUUGAAACUAAAAGAUGAACACUGUAGCUGCAGCUGUUCGCUUCAGCUCUGCAGCUACAGUAGUCCAGCACUGUGGCUAGCUGCUGCUAAUUGGGACACUAGCUGUGGGCCAACUGCUGCAGCAGCGGCAGCCAGCUGUGCCGAACACGGUGAAAGCACCAUGGCACCUUCGCUGCAACCGCAACCCAGCAUGCAUCCUGCAGCUACAACUCUUGCCACGUCUGCUCCCCAUGCCGUAUGCCGUCUCGCUGCUACUGGUUGUGCUCCUCCUCCAAUGCACGGCGGCGCAAGCGAGCCAGCAGCCGCCGCUGGUUUCCAGGAUCACCAAAGACGCCACCUCCUCCCUCUACACCAUCUCCAUCAAGGACGACGCGCCGCUGCUCGUCGACCUCGCGGGCCCGCUCGUCUGGUCGACGUGCCCCUCCCCGCACGCCACGGUCCCGUGCCAGUCCGACACGUGCCGCGCGGCCAACCAGCAGCGCCCGCGACGGUGCCGGUACGUGGACGCCGGCGCGUUCUGGGCCGGCCGCUAGCUGCCGGCCUGGGGCUGCGCCUGCGCCGCCCACCCCUUCAACCCGGUCACCGGCGACCUCACCAGCUUCGCCAUGUCGGCCAACACCACCAACGGCACCGACCUGCUGUACCCGGAGGCGUUCGCCGCCGUCGGUGCGUGCGCACCCGGCCGCCUCCUGGCGUCGCUCCCCGCGGCGGCCACCGGCGUCGCGGGAUUCUCCCGGGACCCGCUCUCGCUGCCAUCGCAGCUCGCAGCGCAGCGCGGCUUCGGUGGCAGGUUCGCGCUGUGCCUCCCAGCCUUCGCCGCGUUCGGCGACACGCCGGUGUACCUGGGGACGGAGUCGCGGGGCCUCGUCGAGUACACGGGCUCCAUCCCGUACGCGUUGCUCCUCGCGAACCCGAGGAACCCCAGCGGCUACUACAUCCCCGUCAAGGGCAUCUCCGUGUCCUGGCACGGCGUGGACGUGGCGGCCUCCCUGCCCAACGGUGCGCUGGACCUCGACGGCCGCACCGGCCGAGGCGGUGUCGUGCUGAGCACGGUCACGCCGUACACCAUCAUGCGGGCGGAGGUGUUCCGCCCGUUGAUCCAGGCGUUCGACGAUGCAAUAACCAGGCUGCAAACCAUGGCGCUAUCAAUUACUGCCAGUACUUAAUUAAUGAGCUGACUGAUACUGAUGAUCAUCUUUGAGCUGAUCGAGAUCAACUCACCUGCAGAGGGAAGAUGACAGAUGUGAAGCGUGUGCCAGCGGUGAAGCCGUUCCAGCUGUGCUACAACGGCGCUGAAGCGGCCGAUCAGCUACGACGUACCAAGGAUCGACAUGGAGCUAGCCGGCGCCAGAAGCAACUGGACUGUGUUCAAUAACAACUACCUGGUGCAGGUGGACGGCGCCAUGUGCGUCGGGAUCCUCGAGAUGGGGCCGGGCGCCAUGCCGGUUGAUCGGCGGGAAGACGAUGGAGAACAACCUGCUGGUGUUCGAUCUGGAGAAAGGGGUGCUGGGGUUCAGCAUGUUGUUGGACUUUCAGUUGACCAGCUGCUACAGCUCUAACCUGAGUCGCCUUUGAGCCAGUAACAGAGUGCUGCACUUGUACUCCACCAGCACAAGCUUUGUAGGCAUCUCUGUUUCACGCAUUUUGCAGCAGUAUCAUUGUGGUCCUCAGGCACGAUGCACAAAAAAUUUCAGGCCAUCUCGCUCCCUUUUCCCGUUGCCUGUGCUGCACUCGGAUCCUCACUUGUUAGCUCCAGAUAACUGAUGCUGAUCAAAUGCACUAUGGAUUCAAGAUAAAAUGCAUGAAUUCAUCAACGCAGUUAACAGAUACAACCUAAAAGAGACUCUAUGUAAUGCAAGUUCAUGCAGGCCAGGAUGAAAGCACAACUGAAAUGAAAUUGUACCUUAUGCUUUACACAUGCAAGAACAUUUCGACAACACUUUCAGCUUAUGUGGUGGUGGUGCCACGUCGGGCCAGCGUGGACGUCCGUGGCGCCACUCCCGGUGCCAGGCGGUGCCAUGCUGGAGUACAGUGACGCCGUGCACAACGGCAUGAUCAGGUGGCCCGACGUGUUCCUCCCGCUCCCCCCGGUAGUUCGACGAGGCCAUGAAGAGGUUCUCCUUGCGCUCUGCAAAACAUGGUGUCAUUAUCCAAGUACAGUACCAAAUAGCACUACCUGGCUGAGCUGAUUAGUCAUCCGUGAACUGAACUCACAUGCAAGGGAAACAUGACCGGCGUGAAGAGCGUACCGCCGCCAGGCGGCGGUUGAACCUUCGAGCUGUUCUACAACGGUUCUUGAAGUGGCCGGUCAGCUAAGACCCUGGAGAGAGCGACCUGAUGGUGUUCCGUCUGAUUAAUUUCAUGAAUGGAAGGGCGAACUUGUUAGCUUCAGAUAAAAUGCUCAAGAUCAAAUAGAUGAAUUCAUCACCGAAGUUAUAUUAAUUGAUACGGUCGGCAAAAAAACUCUUUACCAAUAUUAAUUGAUACGGUCGGAAAAAAAAACUCUACCAAUUUCAUGCAGGCAAAGAUAUAAUUAAAGAGACUACGAUAAGAGAAAAAUCUUAGUAAACCGUACCUACAUUAUGCUUUACACAGGCAACGACGUUUGGACGAAGAUACCCGGCUCUCCUUGUAUACAUAAUGCAUAUGGAAUUUGGACAGCUAACCAUCAUUUCAAACAAAAUACAAUGAGCUGCUGAAAAAGCUAACUAUGAUUUGAGAGGCCGGGUAGUAUAUGGUAGAUCCUUGACAGGCCUCAAGGUAGCCUGCCAAAAAUUGAAAAUAAAAAAUGACUCAAGACUUUAGAAAUUCAUAUUUAGUCGCAGUCGACUAAUUUGUCCGCACAACCGUUAGCCAAGUCACAGAAAUUAAAGAAAAGCAUGCACUGUAAGUUAUCUGGCAGAAAAGAAAACAACAUCGAUAAGGAGGUUCUCACCAUGCUAGAUGAGGUGUGAAGCUUCUGUUACUCGAAUUCAACUUCUGGAAUAUGAGCGAUCUUGUGCUUGUCCUCUCCUUGGCACUUCUCUGACAGUGCUGGGCAGUCCGUGAUCCGCAGUUUCUUUAACUCAGUAAGACGCUGUAUGCUUUCUGGCAAUGAAGAUAGCAUUGGGCAUGAGACGAUUUGAAUUUCUCUCAAAGAAGUAAAAUCUCCCAGCCAUUCUGGCAGUGUCUCCAAGUCAUAACAGUCCUCUACGUUGAAUUCCCGGAGGGAGAUGAAACAUCGGAUAACCUCUGGCAAUGUUGUAAGACCCGUGAGGGGGCCAAGAGCAAGGUUGUCGAUAGAACAGAGAUACCGGGCCCUAUGCCACGCUUAAGGAGAAGGGGAUGUGCCCGCUAUCAAAAGGAAACAUGGAGAAGUGAUAGAUGAGAGGUUCCCAAACCCAUGUUCCGCAAAAACGUGAUCGCUAUUCUGUACCACCCAAGUCACGCUCCUUGGGGGAUAAGGCAGGAAUUUCAACUUUGGGCAAUUAGAAGCAAACAGCAGAUGUAAAUUAGGGAUUAAGAACUCUUCAUCUUCAUUAGACGUUCUCGUUGUCCACCACCCUGCCAAGUUGUCCAUUCCCUCCAAAAGAAUCAUUCUUAGCUUCCAGCAACUUCCGUGGUCCCCAUAAAAUUCCCUUUUGAGAUUGGGCAUACUAGCCAAGCACAAUGCUCUCAAAUUUGGCAGGCGCCCAAGUGGAGGGAGGUGGCUGCACCCUUUCAGAUUCAAAAGAACGAUGGUGGUAAGAUGAGGUGGGUAGGAAGGAAGGUCCAGCAUCCACCUAGAGAAGUCUACGCUCAUGUAACCAUCAAGACCAAGGUGUCGGAGAUUUCUAGGAGGCACAAGCUUCUCCAGCACCGAUUUGUCAACCGAUGCAUCUGCAUGCUCCACCAUACUACUUUGACCAUGUUGCCAUGAAAGAGACAGCCUCCUAAGAUUUGAGUUGUUGAACAGUUUAGCCUGGUCUGCCCCUUCCAGAUUCUUGACAUUCUGAAGAUCUUUGAUCUGCAGCUCAAGGCAGGGUGUCUUCUCGAGGUCCAAAAUUUGACUCCAUAGAUCACCACGUCCAUCAAGCUCACAUGACCUUUCCAGGUUUAGUUGUUUCCUAAGUUUAUCAACUUCAGAACGUAUAUCGAAUGUAAAAAAUCCUCUUUCGACAUGUACAAGUGUAGACAUGUUAAAAAUGCUAUCCGGCAAGCCAACAAGGAAAAAGCAGCCUUGGAAAUCCAAACUCUGAAGUCGUAAAACACCAAUAGAAGCAGGCAGAUGUCUAAGUUUUACACAGAACGACAAAUUUAGAUGCUUUAACAUCAUGAGUUUGCAUAGAGACUCGGGCAACAUUUGAACCUUGGAACAGCUUGUCAUGUUCAGAUACUCAAGCUUAGAAAGUUGAUCAAUACAAUCUGGGACCUUUUCAAGAUUAUGGCAAUCCGACAGCUCAAGAUGUGUUAGAUCAUGAAGUUGACAACAAGAUUCUGGUAGUGAGUGGAGUUUGUAGCAAUCGGAUAGGUUCAAAAACUGAAGCUUAUGCAACUUGCCAAAGGAUUCUGGAAGGGUAGGCAGUUCAUGGCAGCUUGCCAAGUUUAAGAAGAGCAAAGCACUGAGGUUACCGAAAGAGGUGGGAAGUUCAUGAAGGUUGACACAUCCUGAUAGGUCAAAGUAUUGCAGCUUUUGGAGGCAACCAACGUUUGUGGGCAGUGCCUUCAGAGAAGUGUUUGAAAGUAUCAAGGUUUGCAAGUUUAGGAGACGGUUCAAGGAUUUAGGAAAGUUUGGGAUAGGAAGGUUGGAAGCAUCAAGAUACCUUAAUAGCUUUAGUUUACAAACAGAACCCGGUAGCUCUGACACAUGGCAUCCACUCAAAUCCAAAACUCUCAGAUAUAAUGCGUGUGAGAAUGCUUGCUUAGGAAGAUGAAGUUUAUUGCAUUCCCUGAAAUGCAUGGCCCUAACCUUUGGUGGCAAAGACUUAGAGGAUGAAGACUCGUUACUAUUCAUCAAUAGCUGAUAGUGACAAAUCAAUUUGCCCGCCUUAGUAGUGCUGUUUGCCACACCAUUUGUGCAAGAUAAUUCAUCACCAGCAACAUGCCUUGCGAGAUCGUGUACCAUAUCAUGCAUACAAAGUCUAAGUGUGGGUUCAAAACUCCUUGAAGCCGGCACCUUGCAAAAGAAAAUAGAGCAUAGUUCAUAUCUUUUCAAGAUAAACAAUUGCAAUUUCGUAAUUACAAGUACGCUUACUGUAGGAGUCAAAUUUGUGAGGAAGGACAUUCCCAAGAAUUCAUUAACAUAUUCCCUACCAAUCUUCUGAAGCGUUGCCCAUUAGUAUCUUGAAUAAACCCCAAAGCAAUCCAUUGCUGGAUCAAACAAUCAUGAUCUAUAUCAUGGUUCCUAGGGAAGAUAGAGCAAUACAUGAAACAAAGUUGAAGUUGUGGAGGCAUGUGGUAAUAGCUUAGCAGCAAGCCCUUCAGAAUUCCUUUGUCAUCAUCCUUAAUAUCCAGUAUGUUACUAUUUUUAAUUUCUAACCAUUCUUCUCUUGUGCACUGCUUCUGCAUCACAUAACCAAGAGCCUUAGCAACCAGAGGUACUCCACUGCAUCGCUGUGCAAUAUCCUUUCCAAUGUCUACAAGGUCAGUAAGUUGACCAUUUCUGAGAUUACGAGGCUUCAUAAUAGACCAACAUUCAUCAAUUGACAUACUCUCCAGUUUAAUUGGGUCAACAAUCUGAAAAUAUGAAGAAUGUAUGGUAGUAGUAGAUACUAAACUAACAACCUUUUCACUACGGGUAGUGACUAUUAUAUUGCUACCUUUCAUUCCAGAUUGCAACAUGUUCAUCAGAUCCUCCAACUUAGACCUCUCUUCCUCCCAUAAAUCAUCUAAGACUAUAAGAUAAAUCUUGCCAUGGAGUAUGCGGUCAAGUUGAGAUUUUAGGUACUGCAGAUCAACAUCAUUAGCAGGAGUGCUACCCUCGACCUGAGAUAUAAUAGCAGACACAAUCUUAUUUAGCUGAAAGUCCAUCGAGACAUGAACCCAUGCUUUCACAUCAAACAUAUUUGUUUCCUUGUCAGUGUAAACAGCCUUUGCUAAUGUUGUCUUACCCAUUCCACCAAGGCCAACAACAGGAAUGAUAAAGCUUUCUUUCUCUCCAUUUUUCUGCAACACCUUAGUCAGUAUGUCUUUCUUCUCUCUUUCCCUUCCUAUCACCUCAAUUUCAUCUCUGUCACCAAUAAAGGUUUCUCUCCACUUCUUCUUACUAUCUUGGCUUGUUGGGGUAGGCAAUGUCAGAAAACGGAAUUUCGUCUGGUCCUCAACAAUCUUAUCUAGCAUCGCCCGGAUAUUUCUCAUCUUAUCUGACAUGGUGAUGCGCACAACGAGUGGAUUGAUUGAUGAGAAGAAAAAUUUAGCCUGCAGUAUUUUUGUAAGAUGGAAUCAGUGAAACAACCACAACAUAUAUCCUCAGAAGGCACGUGUUACUAAAAAUCUACCAAAAAGUUAGUAUAGUUUUAUGAAGUAGAUAUAACUCCUAACUAGAAAAUUAUUUUCUAUUUCUGGACAGUAGCAUGCAAGAAUUCCUAUGGAUUGCCAAAUUGUGGUCACCAACACUGACAAAAAAGUUGUGGUAGUGUCACAGUCACACCGCACAACAUUAUACUAAUUAAUCCUACAAGUGGAUCAAUGUUCCUAUUCUAUUUCUUUAUCGAUGAAUUGAGAAUUGAGAUGCGAAUUUCGUUAGUCAAUUGUGCUAGAAAAGAUUGUCUAUUCUAUGACCAUUUAAAUUAGGUACAGGAAUUAGGAUCUUUUUGGAAUGUGUGACUACAGUUCAAUGGACAAUUUAAAGCUCUAACCCAUUUUACUUUGUGCUUGAUUUGGUAACCUUUUGAGGAACAAAACUAAGCUGGGGCCCCUAGAAAUAAUAACAAAAAGAGUGAAUCAGACUGAAAUUAGAAUGCAGAAAUGUGUAAAGUUUCCAUGAAAUUUCAUGUAAUUUAUUCACACUAGCACUAUAAGUAUAUGCUGAUUAUAAUAUUAUUAAAUAGACCAUACAAUAUCCAGUACAGUAAUCAACUGUGACCUUGCAUUGGAGGGAUCAGGCUAAUUACAGAAUGGGCCCAAUAACCUUUUAUUCUGGAGAUAGAUUGCUCUUUGGCAAUCGACUUUAGUAGAGAGCAUAGCAAAGUAGCGAAGAGUUGGCAAGCUAGGAGGAACUACUGCUAUGUGGUUGAGGCAACAACACCUCGUGUGUUGUCUAACACCUGAACCAUGACUGUAACCCAAGUAAUAUGAAGCUCUCUUGUCCCUUAGAAACAUGGGAAAGGAAUCUGUAUUUAGCAUGCUGCAAUUAUUUUUAAUUUUUAAUUAUUAAAGCAUGUGAAUUCCCCCUUCAACAACUAGAAUUUUUUUUGGAAAAAGAAUAUUUGUUUGGUUUCCCUGCGCAAUUUUCCCAAGCCUUUCAAAUAAGCAAGGAAAUCCUCGUAAGCUAUGAAUGGGCAAGGGAAUAAAACCAUAGUUUAAAAUAGUCAGCUAUAGCCUCCGCUUUCUCCGGCUAUAGCGGAUCGAGAUGGGUGCAGCUAUUGCUCACGUGUGCAAUUCAUUGGCUAUAGCUCCAUCCAACAACCAAGUUUUUUAAAAAAAGAAUAAUUGUUUGGUCUCCCUGCACAACCUUUCCCAGCCUUUCAAGUGAGCAAGGAAAUCCUUUUAAGCUAUUGAAUUGGCAAGGGAAUAAAAUAUGAAAUAUGUGUCUACUUAAAAGGGAGCAAAUGCUAAACAGAAGAGAGGACGUGUGCCUGUGGGACACAGUGGAAGAAGGUAUGUAUGGUGGUUACAGGGCCCGGAUCUACUAUGUCAAACUUUUGUGCUUAACUCUCGUUAAAUCCGUGGAUCUCCCUGUAGGUUCAACUAGGCAAUCAACUGACUAGCAGGUGUUUCCACGAACCAGUGUCAUACGAUGAUUGCAAUUAGAUAAUUAAUUCAGAUAACUAUUUUCUCCAAGGAACAUAAUUUAGAUAAUAAUUAUCUGGUGGCUAAAAAAUUGUACAGAUCUAGCUCUGUGAGAGGCCUUAACAACUUUCCAUCAAAACUACGUGCGUAUAUGAUUGUUGGGUGUUCUGAGGGCUGUGUGUACGUAUAUGAUUUAGCAUAUCGUAGUCUAUUACUUCUUCACAAACAUAUGUAUAUGGAACAUUUUGAGAAAUAUGUAAAUGGAAUAAUUUUGACAAAUAUCAAAUGUUUUGUGGUGUCUGUUUACUGUGCACACCCACAGAUCCACGAGAAUACAUGUAGACGCUAACUGAAUAAAGAGUAACUGCUCUCCAUUAUCCUAAUAGCUAGAAUUAGUAGCAUGAGAAGACCCAGUGUCAUAGUACUUACCGUGCAUGUACUAUUUCUCCAUAUCAUUGCGUUCGCGCCCAACUCAUCCAGUGUGUCCUCCAUGUCAUAGGCAACAGAUUUGUACUUCUUGAGCCAGAGUCUCGCCAAUGCAUCCUCGGACUCCUGGGAGCGCUUCUCAGCAUUGUUAAGUGCAACCUGCAGGUUAAACAUUUUGUCCUUCAUCUCCUUGGCAUCAUUCUCAAAGUUCCAUAGCAGCUCGAUCCUCUCCCAGGCUUUGUCACCGAGCAUGCUGCCAACAUGCUGAAUCACGGCACUUGCGAUCAUGUCAGGUCCCCCACUCAUGGCUGCAGACUUGUGUUUUGCUCUCUCACAAACACAAGUGAUGUUGCUUUUGUGUACUUGAAAGCUCCUAUAUGAAGAACAUACGACAUGUUAUGCAGAUAUAUGCUGCUGCCCGUCUUCUAGUCAAGCUUUUUGCAUCCACAGAUACCUGAAGUGCAGUGCAGGUUCAGGACUUGGAAUCCCCGCCGAAAGCAAACUGCAUAAAUCCCUAGACUACACCGCAAGUCAUGGCCUUUGGUGAAAGUAAAAUAGGCGUGGUGCCUAUCCUGGAAAAGAGAACGUAUGGACAAAGUUAAAGAUAUGAACUUGAAAUAUUUAACUCAAAGAUGACAGAUUAUGAUUUCUUUGCUAAUGAAUUCGGGAGGAGGGAGAGAUGGGGAGAAUGACGGAGCAAACACUGCACGAGACAUAAAUCAUAAGAGAUGGAUGGAUUUUUCGGCUUCUGGCCAUGAGCUUGCUACAAGAACAUAUAAGACUGAUAUUCACGAGGGAGAACACUCUUGGACUGAAUGAAUACUGAAGAGUGCCACCCCUUGCUUCUAAAGAUGAAGAUGAUUUGUUAACAGUACACGGUUCACUUGUUCGAUUUCAAUAGGAACGCCAAGCGCGAUUGUUCGCCCCGUACCUUUAGCAUCGGCGACGUACGGCGGCCCGCCGUAGUUUCACCGCGUCCUUGCGGCAACACGAAGAUCAAUUUCGGCAACAGACGCGAGCGCCGCCUCCGAAGGGUUCCUGCCCCUGCCGGAGCCGCCGGACGACCAACGGCGUCCGCCUCCAGCGAAGCGGCCAAGGCCCUCCAUCCGCCUUAGCAACCGCCUCUCCACCGGCGGCAUCGCCCCACCGAGCCCCGCCCCCUCGACAUUCCCCAUCCACCUGCAGACCGAUGAAUGGGGAGUACUCUACCAACCCGGGGUCCUACUGAGGGCCCAAGGAAGGAACGCGAGGUCGAGCUCGUCGGAAGCGUCCGCCGCCGCGGUCGAUGGCGUCACUCUCGCGCUCGCCGUCGCUCGGUUCGGCCCCGCAGCGUCCGACGCCACCGGCGGCGAGCAGCAGCUGGGGCGGGUUUGGGUUUGGGCUUGGCAUCCGGCUUGGGUUUGGGCUUUUCAAUUCACACACGCGGAAAAAAAAAGGCUGAUCUCUUCAUGGGCUCAUGGCCUGUCUAACAUUAUUCUCCAAAAAAGGCUGAUAGUGCUCCAGCAGCAUAAUCUUGAGCCAGCCUUGGUGCUGCGGUAAAAGAAGUGGCGUGAAAUGUCAGUUAAAACAUGCGGUAUGAAAUAAUGUUUCUAAACCGAGACACUCUACUGUUUUAUACAGGUAAAAUAGCUAUUUUGGUCCCUCGGCCAAUCUAGUUUCUUAAUUUUUUUUAUCAAACAUAUCCUUGUGUGAGACUUCAUAUUAGCUUAAGAUUAAUGCGAAAAGUCAUGUUUGCCCUCGGCCUCUUCUUCCCGUCCUCAAUUAUCCAAAAUAAGUAUGAGCAUAUAUAUGUUUACCGAGAGAGUACAAAUACAUACAUGAAGUAUGUAUACAGUACCAUGAGUACUUUAAAUUAUGUGUACUAAGUUGUGUAUAUCAUGAAAGAAUAUCAGCACUUACAUUUUGUAUAUCAAAAUUUAAUCCGUGUGAACACAUGCAUGAUUUUAAAGAGCACGAGAACAUGUAAAACUAUAUUUUAUAUCAGUUAAAAAAUAUACUGUUGUCUGUAUGUAUUGAGAGAGCAUGAGCAUAUACAUGUUUGACCUACAUGAGCUAAGGGUAAAAUGGACUUUUCACAUUAGUCUCGUACUAAGAUAUAUAGCACCACAUCAGCAAAAUGAUGAGUUUGACCUUAAAACGAAAGUUGAGGGACCAAAUUAACCUAUCUGAAAGUUGAGGGGCCAACUUGACUUUUCGUGUAAAGUUCAGGGAUUAAAAUGAAGAAUGAGUUUGACCUAAACGGAAGUUAAAGUUGAGGGACGAACUUGACUUUUUGAUGUAAAGUUUAGGGACUAAAAUGUCUAUUUUGCCUUUUAUACACAGUUGUUAGUUCCCAGACCAUUUUGCCUCGACAAGCAAAACUAGCCAAGUCCAAGAUGGGCGAGGCGGUCAAGCUCAUCGGCUCCGGCAGCAGCCCCUUCGUGCACCGAGCCGCUGUGGCUCUGCGCCUCAAGGGCGUGCCCUACGAGUUCAUCCGCGAGGACAUGAGCAACAAGAGCGAUCUGCUUCUCCAGCACAACCCCGUCCACAAGAAGGUGCCCGUGCUCCUCCACGGCGGCCGCGCCGUGUGCGAGUCCCUCAUCAUCGUCGAGUACGUCGACGAGGCCUUCCCGGGGCCGCCGCUCCUCCCCGCCGACCCCCUACGACCGCGCCGCCGCCCGCUUCUGGGCGCACUUCCUCGACGACAAGUGCCUCAAGUCGUUGUGGCCGGCGCUGUGGACGGAGGGCGAGGCGCAGGCUGCGUCGAUGGCGGUGGCGAGGGAGAACUUGGCGAUACUUGAGGAGCAGCUCAGGGGGAAGAAGAAGAAGAGGUUCUUCGGCGGCGAUUCCAUCGGCCUCGUGGACAUAGCCGGGGUGCGCGUCCUGAGCGACGAGGAGCACCCGGCCCUGCGCCGCUGGGCGAACGAGUACCUCGCCGACGAAGCCGUCAAGGAGUGCCUGCCGGACAGGGACCAGCUUGUGGCCCACUUCUCCGCGAACAGGGACAAGUGCAUCUCGAUAGCCAAAUCCAUGCUGCCGCCGAAUUGAUGGAGUUGCUUGAAACAAUCGAUCGGCUUUGUAUUAUCGUGACGGUGACAUCUAUCUGCUGUUUCUUGAGUGUCAGAAAUAAAGGGCAACAGUGUUGCGAACUUGUUCUCUUAGGGGUGUUUGGAUACGAGGUGUUAAACUUUAACAGUGUCACAUCGAAUGUUUGGAUGCUAAUUAGGAAAACUAAAUAUGAGCUAAUUAUAAAACUAAUUGUAGAACCCUAUGCUAAUUCGCGAGACGAAUCUAUUAAGCCUAAUUAAUCCAUCAUUAGCAAAUGGUUACUUAGCACUACAUUGUCAAAUCAUGUACUAAUUAGGCUUAAUAGAUUCGUCUCGCGAAUUACACUCCAUCUAUGCAAUUAGUUUUAUAAUUAGCCUAUGUUUAAUACUCGUAAUUAGCAUUCAAACAUCCGAUGUGACGGGUGUUAAACUUUAACACUAGUGAGCCAAACAGGCCAGAGUGUUGUUUCCUGGCAGCUUCGUCCCUCCCGUCUUCCAUUAUUGGUCAAUUGACUCUCCUUUGUAGCGGUAUUCUAGUAGAAGCAAAGAAAUCGAUCAUCCACUUUUGACCUGUAUCCUCCUGCAGCAACGACUGAGGUUCUGUUGACCAAAAUACAUGUUGGAUGGGCACGUGUCGCAGCGCAGUUCCUAUAAAGCACCCACAGCAGUUCGAUCUGGCCAGAACAAUCCCCGAUCGAGCGCUUCAGUCGGUGUGUACGAGAACGGAGGCAAAGAUGACGACCGAACCGGUGACGCUCAUCGGCGCUUUCGGCAGCCCGUUCGUGCACCGCGUCGAGGUGGCCCUGCGCCUCAAAGGAGUCCCCUACGAGCUCAUCCUGGAGGACAUGAGCAACAAGAGCGAGCUGCUCCUGAAGCACAACCCCGUGCACAAGAAGGUGCCCGUCCUCCUCCACGGCGACAGGGCCGUCUCCGAGUCGCUCGUCAUCGUCGAGUACGUCGACGAGGCCUUCGACGGGCCGCCCCUCCUGCCGGCCGACCCCUACGAGAGAGCCCUGACGCGCUUCUGGGCUCACUUCCUGGAGGAGAAGGUGAUUAAUCGAUAGUACCCGCUACUGCACCUUCAGUUGCAACAUCGCGCCAUUCUCAUUUAACCAAUUAACCCUGCCGAGCAAAUCAAAUUGACAGUGCCUACAGCCGCUCCGGGCGGCGCUGUUCGCGGACGGCGAGGUGCAGCAGGUGGCAAUGAAAGAGGCGAGGGAGAGCCUUGCAGUAGUGGAGGAGCAGCUCAGGGGGAAGAGGUUCAUGGGAGGAGAAGCCAUCGGCCUCGCGGACAUAGCCGCCGGCGGCCUGCUGGGGCACUGGCUUGGUGUGCUCGAGGAGGUCGCCGGAGUGCGUGUCCUCAGCGAUGAGGAGGAAUACCCGGCUCUGCGCCGGUGGGCGGCGGAGUACAGCUCCAGUGAAGCGGUGAAGGAGUGCCUGCCGGACAGGGCCCGGCUUCUCUCCUACUUCGGCGCCAUCAGGGAGAAGUGCGUCUUGGUGGCCAACUCGACGCUGCCCAAAUAAACAUUGAGCUCAUCAUCAUCGUCAUCUAGUAAUGCUUUAGCAUGUUUGGUUGCCCGUCACCGUCACCGCCUGCCACCUCCCCGCCCCACCCCGCCGGCCACCUCCUCCCGCCUCCCCCGGCGGCUCCCUGGCUCCCCGCCGGCCCCGCGCGCCUCCCCGCCGCCCCGCCGUGCUAGAUCUGCUGUGGGGAGAGAAGAGAGGAAGGAGAGAGGAGUGGAAGUCCUCUCUGUGCCGCUCUGUGCUGUACUGCUGUGCCGCUGUGCGCUGUACUUAAAAAAUCUCUUAAGACCCGUUAGGUUACUUUUGCUUAUUUUUAAGCACGUGUCAUAUUGAAUAUUUAAAUACGUAUUAAACAUAGACUAUUUACAAAACUCAUUACAUAAGUGGAGGUUAAACGGCGAGACGAAUCUAUUAAGCCUAAUUAAAUCUAAUUAAUCCAUCAUUAGCAAAUAUUUACUGUAGCAACAUAUUGUCAAAUCAUGGACUAUAUAGGCUUAUUAGAUUCGCCUCGCCGUUUAGCCUCUACUUAUGUAAUUGGUUUGUAAAUAGUCUAUGUUUAAUACUUCUAAUUAGUAUCCAAACACGGAUGCUAAAAAUAAGCAAAAAAAACCAAACCAGGUCUAAAUCCUCUCGCGGGAGGGGCUCGAACCGGUAGCAGAGGUCGGGUUCCAUCCGCAUCCGGCGCUAGAGGGUCGUCGAGGACUUCCAACUUUAGAACUAAUACUAAUGCUGUUAAUAUUAGUAUCAAGUUCAAAAAUAAUCGGUACUAAAAAGGACGAAAGAUAGCUAAGGAUGAAAGAUAGUAGCCGGUCCAUCGAAUGUCUCGUCGAUGUACUCAAGGAUGACGAGGGACUCGCAGAUGGUGCGGUCGCCAUGGAGGAGCACGGGGCCUUCUCGUGGAUGGGGUUGUGCGUGGGGGCUCUUGUUCUCCAGGUCUUCGAGGAUGAGCUCGUAAGGCACGCCCUAUGGAAGAAUAUAACUCGAUAAUAUAACCGAGUACUUAUAAGUACGAAGUGAUUAGUUUAAGAUUAAAAAUGAUUCAGAAAAAAAAUAGCUAGAGCCUAAUCGCCGCCUUGCUCGGCGCGGUGCCGUGAGUCCAUGCGCCCCACGGUCGUCGCAAGGGGAACUGGGAAGGGGCUCUCCGGUCGUCCGGCGUCCGUGAUGCCGCGCGCCCGCGCCAAAAAGCCUCGCCGGAGGGAGCGGAUGGCCGGAGCACGAUGAUUGACCGUCAUUUUCAUCUCCGGAGGUCGAACACAAUUAUUUGGGCAUCUGAACAUGGAAGAGGAAAAAAAUGGCAAGAAGCUCAAUCUUCCGGGACAAGCAGCUGGCAGCCAUGAAAUCCUAAGGGCAUGUACAAGCCACAGACAGUUUGUCGUCUGGAUGAUGAUGUCACACCAUAUAAAGACAUCUAAAUAGACAACGUGUACAAUCCAUUGUUUGUUUGAUUGUCUGUUAAGUCUUUAAUGUCCGUAUGUAGCCACGGUCAAUCGUAAAUAAGACUUGUGUAUACUAUUGUAAAUAAGACUUGUGUAUACUAUUGUGUUGCUUGUUGAAAAAAGAAAGAUCAAGCAUAAAUAAGAUGCUUUUGGAAACAUAAAUAUAAAAGAUAUUUGAAUAUAUUUAUAUUAAUGUAAUAGAACAAAAUACUAGAGUAGGCCUCUACGAUAGCGUGCCCCACGUCCUGCAUAUGUACACAGCAGUCAUUCUUCAAUCCAUGUUCAGAGUUACCUCAUUUUAGACCUAUCGAACAUCUUCCACAUUAUUCAGAAUCAGCAAAAGUCUGUACUUAACAAAUAAAUAAGUUAGGUGGAUACUUGCCUUUGGGAGGGCAUCCAUAACAGCUGCAGGAAUAGGCAUAUGGAAUAGGACUUGUUCAUUGAAGGAUUUUGCAGCUUUGAGGAUCUGAUGAACAAGCUUAGCCUGAAAUUGUUGAGAACUCAUGCUGAAAUUAUUCAGCAACUAGAUCCAUGAGUUUUGAGUGAUUACCAAGGUGCAUCCUAAGCUGCUAAACGUCCAAAUCCAAUGCAAGAGGGAUCAUUGCCGGCUGCAUCCCACCAAGCUAGGGACGUUGAAGGGGGAACGUGCGGUGGCGGCGCGUCCCUGCUAGCAGCAGCGGUGCAGUCUGGCGCGGCGUGCGGUGGCGGCGCCUCGCGCCAGCAGCCUCAGCACAGCCAUGGCGCACGAGAGGGGGCCGAUUCGGCACCUGCGGAGCUCGAUUCGGAGCUCGAAUCGACAGCGGCAGAGGUCGACUCGGCGGCUGCGAAGCUCGAUUCAGCGCCUGCGGAGGUUGAAUCGGCGGUGGAGGAGCUCCUCCUGGCGGCCCGCGUGAGCACGCGAGCAGCUUGCUCGAUGCAGGAGAGCAGCCUAGCGGCCAGCUGGGCAAGCUGCCGGGCAAAGUGGUGAGGUGAGCAAUACCAAGCGGCUUGCCUUGCUUGGCGUGGGACAACGGAUCCACGUCGCCAUCAAUUUGACCUUCGCGCGGGGAAAGCAAGGACGCGGGGAGGGGAGGUGGAGAUGGAUUUGGCGCGCAAAAAUCCUGCGCGCGCCCAAAUCAACUGCUGUCCGCACGGGAUUCGAGCGUGCGGUUGACCGUCGGAGACGAGGCUAUACAACAGUGCUGUGGUGUCUAUUCCCGCCUCGGAGCAUGGAUGCGGCCGCCGUCUCACGAGGCUGAGAGGAGGUUGUUUUUGCAAAAAUACCGGCUCGCAGACGGCUCCUAGACACCCGUUGUAUCGUGCCCUAAAAGCUCAAUCUUCCGGGACAAGCAGGUGGCUGCAACAAGUUAAAAUCCUUUAAUCACAGUGCCACCGACAGCCGUGUGUUCAUCCCUAAGGGUACUUUUAACAGUUUAGACGGCUGCCGUCUGUAAGUCAUAUAUAGACAGUGAAACCGACAGCUUGUACAAUGAUGUGUUUUUUAAGUUAUUUGCAAGUUAUUUAAUUCAUUCAAAUCAAGGUGAUCAGGUAUAAAUAUGAUCUAUGUAUGCCAUUUUGUUGCUUGUUCACUCAAUACAAUGCAUGCUACCCCAUAUUAUGGACACAUAAAUUUGACAUAGAAGCAUAAAUAUAAUAUAUAUUUAUAAUAAUUGAUCUUUGCAAUACAUAAUACGAUAAUAUUAUGACUUCCGCUUGGGGACCUUCAACAAACGAUUCCUUUGUGUUAGAUAAUUCCAUGUGCUCUUUCUGUGAGGUGAAUGUAGCUCUCUCUUUUUCCAGAGCUAAAGCACUUUCUUCCCUUUCACUUCUAUCUUUAUCAGUAGCAUUCACAUUUUGAGUACCACCAGCACCUCCUUGGCACACACCACCUGUGCAAGGGCUACAAGUUUCAAUUUUAUCAGUAAAUUUGGCAAUUGCAGGUCCAUACUAAACAUGAGUCCUAGGACAAGCUACUCUACCUGAAAUUGGAAGUAGGAUCUUCGAGGUUACUCGGUGGAUCCGGAAGUAUAAAACAGUGCCCAGUUGCCAGUUGGAGAGCAGGAGAUAUUUCUGAUAUAGCUCUCAGUGAAUUACAACAUGAAGGAUUAGCAUCUGCUUUCUUGAAAGUUUUUUCACCUGGAUUCAUGGUAUCCUCUUUAGCAGAAACGCUUUGGUCAGCUAAUUUUGUUCCUGUUUCUGAAGAAUUAGCAUCUGCUUUCUUGAAAGUUUUUCCAUCAGUGCUCUCUUUUCCUUCUGCAUUGUCAUCUACAUCCAUUUCCUCAGGCACAUCAAAAGUGCCAGUUUGGCAAAUCCUGUGUAAUCUUCUGAGGUGUUUCACUGAAUUCUUUACCAUCUAGAAAGGAAUCGAAAAUUGGCAUUUGGAGGAAGUAUAGCAUGCACUGUUCUUUUGUUUUUGUAACAACAUGCUCAGCAAUCUCAUCCCAUUCUUUUCCUUUAAAAAUUUCUAACGCUUCCAAAAGAAGCAAUGUCUCCUGGUCAGUCCAGUUAGAACCACCUGAGCCCGGAACCUCUGUAUAUUCCAUAAGGAUGAAAUCAGCAUUUGACAUGCCUUCGUCAAACUUUCCUACAUGUGAAUCUCGACAAGAAGAGUCACGGCUCACCUCUUCCCCUCUGUUCGCCCGCCGGCGGCGCGUCAUCUUCAGUCCCCGGUCGGGAGCAGCCCCAGAUGAUGUGGAGCCGCAGCGACGACGCGUAGGCGCUACUCUUCGGCAGCGGCGCAAGCUCGUGUCGAUGUGGAGACGGAGAGAAGGGAGUCGCGGAUCUGGAGGCCGGAGGGGAGCUUGCGACGGGGGAUUUCGAUCUGCUCUCGCAGGAGGGGGCCUCGCCUCCGGUGACGCCGCGGAGAUGGAGGAGGCGUGGCGCGGCGGCAGCCCAGCUAUCCGGCCUCACCUCCCGUCGGCGUCCCGCGCGGAGGGAGGAGGUGUGGCGCGACGGCGGCCCAGCUAUCCGGCCUCGCCUCCCAUCGGCGUCCCGUGCAGAGGGAGGGAAGUGGUUGGAAUCGGUUGGAGCAGCGCGGGCUGAUUUUGCACUCGAUCCGGAGGUGCGCCGAUGGAUCGUACAACGGCGCCUGGAGGUCGUCGCCAGGUGUUAGAGCAUGCGAGACGACGGCGCGCCCGUCGCUUGGCUCAAAUGAGGACGUUUUUGCAAAAACGCCAGCUCGCAGACGGCUCACAGUCGCCCGUUGUACGUGCCCUAAUGAGUAUCGAACGAGCCAUUACCAUUAGCAGUCAACACUCAACAGUUUAGUUUCCCUAGGAAGGAUAGCGCUUCUUCGGCGGCGACGACUCCAUCGGCCUCGUCGACAUCGCCGCCAGCAACGUGGCUCACUGGCUCGGGGUCAUGGAGGAGGUCGGCGGGGUGACGCCGCUGCUCACGGACGAGGAGUACCCCGCGCUGUGCCAGUGGGCGAAGCGCUACGCCGGCGACGAGACCGUGAAGCAGUGCCUGCCCAAGAGGGACGAGCUCUUUGCCAUGUACUCUGGGUUCAAGGAGAUGUUCCAGGCCAUGGCGACGUCGCAAAAUCAGUGACAUGUUUCAGUGCCAAAAAAAAGUGUGCUGCGGACGUGUUAGUAACGAUCAAGAUGUUCUUCGAUUGGAAUAAGAAGGCGAUUAUCAGUUAUCAUCAUAGUCGUUUUCUUUAGCACGACUCUUCUCCUGCUCAGAGCUUCGGCUGUGACUUUUCCGGUGGAAUGAUGUUUUAGCUACAACUUGUCUGGUUAGAAAAAUAUUUGGUAAAACGGCUUCUUCUAACGGCGUAACAUGGAUAAAAAUAAUGAAAUAUCUAUAAUACAUUUAUCAUUUUAUUUUUCUUUUUUCUUCCAAUUUUUUCUCAUCUCUUUUGGCCUGUUCGCUUCAGUUUAUAAGCCGGUUGAAAAGCUAAAACGACUUAUUUGUUGUGAGAGAAAAAUACUGUUUGGUGGCUGAUAAGCCGACUAAAUAAGCUGAAGCGAACAGACCGUUUAUUCCCCUUCACUUUUUUCUUUUUUAUUUCUCCUCUUAUCUUCUCCUCCUAUUCUUUUCCCUAUCAUCACCUUCCUACCAGCGCCGCUCCGCUCCCUGCCAGCGCCGCCGGCGUCCUCCGCCCCCGCGCGCCCACUCUACCGCCUUCCAAACCCCCACGACCGCACCGUCGCCACCUUUGGGCGUCGCGCCGCUCCAACCUCCUGCAUCCGUGCCGCCACCAUCCGGCCUCCCCGCGCCCACUCUGACGGCGUCCUCCGGCCUCCUCACGCAAGCUGGGGACUUUUAGCAUCCACACCCAGGGGCAAGCUGGAACUUUGCCCCGCACGAAGGAGAUGAAGCCGCAGGGAGCUGAUAUUUUAGGCUUCUCCUUCCUCUCCUAGCUCCUCUCAGAGGGAAUUGCGGGACUCCUCCCAUGGAGCCGUUUCGUGAGCGGUUGUUUGGCACGACUUUUUUAGAAGUCGGUGGAGAAGCCGUUCAAGAAGCCUUGCCAAAGGGACCUAGGGACGAUCAACACUGGUGUUUAACUAUUUGUGUUUCUUCUCCGCCGUCAGAUCUGCGUGUACUGUGAUCAGGCCCGUUCCUUUCUUUUGACCAGUCAACGACGCCCGCCACAGCCUUCUUCCCCGUUCGCUCGCAGUCGGAGACUCAGGAGAUUUAAUUAUUUAACACUUUUACAAAGGCCACACCUUCAUUUGCCAGUUUUAGAAUAGCUUCUACACUUUUGCCACCGCCUAACAUUUGAGCCAACAUAUUUGCCACUUUAUCCUACGUGGCACGACACCUCCUCCCUCCAGCGCGGAUAGGCAUGGGAAAUGACCAUCGUACCCUCACUUAUCCGUUACGCUCCUCCCAGAUCCGACGCCUGGGAUGUGCCAGUCGAUGGUCGGCGACCUGCUGGUAGUUGCCGCCGAUGAAGACGUCGCCGUAGAUGAGGCCGGCGAGGCCACCACCGAUGAGCGGGCCGACCCAGUAGACCCAGUUGCCGGCGAAGUUGCCAGCGGCGACGGCGGGGUCGAAGGAGCGGGCGGGGUUCACGGAGCCGCCGCUGAAGGGGCCGGCGGCAAGGAUGUUGGCACCGACGAUGAAGCCGAUGGAGAUGGGGGCGAUGGUGCCGAGGGAGCCCUUCUUGGGGUCGGCGGCGGUGGCGUACACGGUGUACAGGAGCGCGAAGGUGAUGAUGAUCUCGAACACCACGCCCUCCAGCUCGCUGAUGCCGGCGACGCCGUGGGUCGGGAUGGCCUUGCCGUGGGUCACGAACUUGAGGAGUAGGCAGGCCACGGAGGCGCCGAGCAGCUGGGCGACCCAGUAGAAGAGGCCGGUGAGGAUGGUGAUGUGGCCGCCGACGGCGAGGCCGAAUGUCACGGCGGGGUUGAGGUGGCCGACGGAGAUGUUGGCGGCGACGGAGACGCCGACGAAGAGGGCCAGCGCGUGGGUGAACGCGAUCGCCACCAGGCCGGAAGCGUCGAGCGCGCCGCCAUGGCUCAGCUGCCCUGCACGUACACGCACGGCAAGUAAUCGAUUGAUCAGCACGCGGAGUCAAAGUGCCUCGAGAUCGACGGAACAGCAGACCUCACCGUAGGUGAUGGCGGAACCGACGCCGGCGAAGACGAAGAGGAGGGUGGCGAUGAACUCGGCCACGUAGGCCAUCUCUCUCCAUUUUCCUGUUGCGUGUGCUGCACCACUAUAUUUAGAGUCGGAUCCUCACUUGUUAGCUCCAGAUAACUGAUCAAAUGCACUAUGGAUUCAAGAUAAAAUGCAUGAAUUCAUCGACACAGUUAACACAUACAACCAAAAAGAUACUCUAUGUAACGCAAAUUGCAGGUCAGGAUGAAAGUACAGCCGAAAUGAAACUGUACCUUAUGCUUUACACAGGCAAGAACAUUUCGACGACACUUUCAACUUAUGAGGUGGUGGUGCCACGUCGGACCAGGGUGGACGUCCGUGGCGCCACUCCCGGUGGCAGGCGGUGCCAUGCUGAGUACAGUGACGCCGUGCACAACGUCACGGUCAGGUGGUCCGACGUGUUCCUCCCGUUCCCCCCGAUAGUUCGACGAGGCCAUGAACAGGUUCUCCUUGCGCUCUGCAAAACAUGGCGUCAUUACCAAAUAGCACUACCUGGCUGAGCUGAUUAGUCAUGCGUGAACUGAACUCACAUGCAAGGGAAACAUGACCGGCGUGACGAGCGUGCCGCCGCUGGGCGGCGGUUGAGCCUUCGAGCUGUUCUACAACGGUUCUUGAAGUGGCCGAUCAGCUAAGACCCUGGAGAGAGCAACCUGAUGGUGGCCCGUCUGAUUAAUUUCAUGAAUGGAAGGGCGUACUUGUUAGCUUCAGAUGAAAGGCUCAGGAUCAAAUAGAUGAAUUCAUCACCGAAGUUACAUUAAUUGAUACGGCCGGAAAAAAAAACUCUUAACCAAUUUCAUGCAGGCAACGAUAUAAUUAAAGAGACUACGAUCAAGAGAAAAAUCUUGGUAAACCGUACCUACCUGAUGCUUUACACAGGCAACGACGUUUGGACGAAGAUACCCGGCUCUCCUUGUAUACAUAAUGCAUACGGAAUUUGAACAGCUAACCAUCAUUUCAAACAAAAUACAAUGAGCUGCUGAAAAGCUAACUAUGAUUUGAGAGGCCGGGUAGUAUAUGGUAGAUCCUUGACAGGCCUUAAGGUAGCCUGCCAAAAAUUGAAAAUAAAAAAUGACUCGAGACUCUAGAGAUUCAUAUUUAGUCGCGAUCGACUAAUUUGUCCGCACAACCGUUAGCCAAGUCACAGAAAUUAAAGAAAAGCAUGCACUGUAAGUUAUCUAGCAGAAAAGAAAACAACAUCGAUAAGGAGGUUCUCACCAUGCUAGAUGAGGUGUGAAGCUUCAGUUACUCGAAUUUGACUUCUAGAAUAUGAGCGAUCUUGUGCUUGUCCUCUCCUUGGCACUUCUCUGACAGUGCUGGGCAGUUGGUGAUCCGCAGUUUCUUUAACCCAGUAAGACGCUGUAUGCUUUCUGGCAGUGAAGAUAGCAUUGGGCAUGAGACGAUUUCAAUUUGUCUCAAAGAAGUUAAAUCUCCCAGCCAUUCUGGCAGUGUCUCCAAGUCAUAACAGCACUCUACCCAGAAUUCCCGGAGGGAAACGAAGCAUCGGAUAACCUCUGGCAAUGUUGUAAGACCCGUGAGGGUGGAAAGAACAAGGUUCUCGAUAGAACAGAGAUACCGGGCCCUAUGCCACGCUUCAGGAGAAGGGGAUGUGCCCCCUAUGAAAAGGAACGAUGGAGAAGUGAUAGAUGAGAGGUUCCCAAACCCAUGUUCCGGCAAAACGUGAUCGCUAUUCCGUACCGCCCAGGUCACGCUCCUUGGGGGAUAAGGCAGGAAUUUCAACUUUGGGCAAUCCAAAGCAAACAGCAGAUGUAAAUUAGGGAUUAAGAACUCUUCAUCUUCAUUAGACGUUCUCGUUGUCCACCACCCUUCCAAGUUGUCCAUUUCCACCAAAAGAAUCAUUCUUAGCUUCGAGCAACUUCCGUGAUCCCCAUAAAAUUCCCUCCCGACACUUUUGAGAUUGGGCAUUCUACCCAACCACAAUGCUCUCAAAUUUGGCAGGCGCCCAAGUGGAGGGAGGUGGCUGCACCCUUUCAGAUUGAGAAGAACGAUGGUGGAAAGAUGAGGUAGGUAGGAAGGAAGGUCCAGCAUCCAUCUAGAGAAGUCUAUGCUCAUGUAACCAUUAAGAUGAAGGUGUCGGAGAUUUCUAGGAGGCACAAGCUUCUCCAGCACCGAUUUGUCAACCGAUGCAUCUGCAUGCUCCACCAUACUACUUUCACCAUGUCCCCAUGAAAGCCACAGACUCGUAAGAUUUGAGCUGUUCAACAGUUUUGCCUGGUCUGCCCCUUCCAGAUUCUUGACAUUCUGAAGAUCUUUGAUCUGCAGCUCAAGGCACCCUGUCUUCUCGAGCUCUAAAAUUUGACUCCAUAGAUCACCACGUCCAUCAAGCUCACAUGACCUUUCCAGGUUUAGUUGUUCCCUAAGUUUAUCAACUUCAGAACGUAUAUGUAUUGCAAAUACUGCUCGUUCGACAUGUACAAGUGUAGACAUGUUAAAAAUGCCAUCCGGCAAGCCAUCAAGGAAAAAGCAGCCUUCCAGAUCCAAACUCUGAAGUCGUAAAACACCAAUAGAAGCAGGCAGAUGUUCAAGUUUUACACAGAACGACAAAUUUAGAUGCUUUAACAUCAUGAGUUUGCAUAGAGACUCGGGCAACAUUUGAACCUUGGAACAGCUUGUCAUGUUCAGAUACUCAAGCUUAGAAAGUUGAUCAAUGCAAUCUGGGACCUUUUCAAGAUUAUGGCAAUCCGACAGCUCAAGAUGUGUUAGAUCAUGAAGUUGACAACAAGAUUCUGGUAGUGAGUGGAGUUUGUAGCAAUCGGAUAGGUUCAAAAACUGAAGCUUAUGCAACUUGCCAAAGGAUUCUGGAAGGGUAGGCAGUUCAUGGCAGCUUGCCAAGUUUAAGAAGAGCAAAGCACUGAGGUUACCGAAAGAGGUGGGAAGUUCAUGAAGGUUGACACAUCCUGAUAGGUCAAAGUAUUGCAGCUUUUGGAGGCAACCAACGUUUGUGGGCAGUGCCUUCAGAGAAGUGUUUGAAAGUAUCAAGGUUUGCAAGUUUAGGAGACGGUUCAAGGAUUUAGGAAAGUUUGGGAUAGGAAGGUUGGAAGCAUCAAGAUACCUUAAUAGCUUUAGUUUACAAACAGAACCCGGUAGCUCUGACACAUGGCAUCCACUCAAAUCCAAAACUCUCAGAUAUAAUGCUUGUGAGAAUGCUUGCUUAGGAAGAUGCAGUUUAUUGCAUUCUCUGAAAUGCAUGGCCCUAACCUUUGGUGGCAAAGACUUAAAGGCUGAUGAAGACUCCUCAUGAUUCAUCAAUAGCUGAUAGUGACAGUUCCGAUUGUCAGUUCUAUUGUUGUGCAUCAUUGUUUUUACAUAUGAAAAUUCUUCACUGGCAACAUAUCUUGUGAGAUCAUGUACCACAUCAUGCAUAUGGAAUUUCAGUGUGGGUUUGAACCUCCCGGAAUCAAGUACCUUGAAACACAAGGAAAUUAAAAGAAUCAUUAAUUAGAAGAUUAGAAUAUGAUAGUAGUCAGAGACUGGAUCAAAGGUUUCAGCUGGGCUUUGUUAUGGAUAAAUUAAAAAAGUGUGAGUAAGACAACUAAUUGUUACAGAUGCGGAGGUUCAUAUCACAAUUAUAUAUACCUUAAAGAGAUUUUUUGUAUUAUUUGUGGAAUUGACACAUAUAUAUACUGUAUCAAUAAAAGGUGUGUUUGGCCAACAACCAAAAUCUGCUGCCAUUUGCUGCUCAUGGUUUAUGUAUGUACUUUUCAGGCUCAAACAGUUAAAUGGGUGCAGUUACCAUGAAGAAAGAUGAAUUAAAGUCCACACAGGUGGAAACAGGCUUUGGAGAACCUUGUCCUUGCAUGUGGGUACGGAAAGAAAGAGAACAGUAAGGGCAAUAUGAGUGAAAAGAUAUUCGGAUUCUGAUCUGCAAGCUAAUUGGUGCUUUGGUUCAAGUUCUCAAGUGGCCUUCAGCUACAACAGUGAAUCCAAGAUUACUGUUUCAGACAGUGGAAACAUAACUAAUCAGUUUUGCAAGGUUAGUUCAACUGUUGGUUCAUUGAAGAAGUAGAUACAGAAACAUUGAGGGCCCAUAGUAUAAUUAAAAUAAAAAAGGAAAUUAUGUAUAGCAAAAAUUUCUUGCAUCCUCAGCUUCAUGCAUACAUUUGUGUUUCAUAGUUUUUGAAUGUGGAAGCAGUUGCUGAAGCUGGUGGAUAUAAUAGGAGACAGACUUGCUAAAAGAGGGUGUCCUUCCUUGUUUUGAACAUAGUUUGUAGCACUGGCUUUGUUAACGAAAUUGAGGAACACCCUUUUUCAUAAACAAAAUCAGUACAUACAAUUAUAUGAGGAAUGUAGCCAUAUUCACCUCAGGGGUAGUUGAAUGAGUAAGGAAGGACAUUCCCAAGAAAUCAUUAAUACAGUCCUGACCAACUUGGUGGAGUGAGAUCCCAUGAUCACCUUGAAUGAAUCCAAGAGCAACCCAUUGUUGAAUCAAGCUGUCAUGAUCUAUGUUAUGGCUCUUAGGAAAGACAGAGCAAUACAUGAAACAUAGUUUCUGGUGUGAGGGCAUGUGGUAAUAACUUAGCAUCAAGCCACUCAUAAUCCCAUAAUCAUCAUCUUUGAUCUCAAGAAUAUUACUGUCUUUAAGUGCAAUCCAUGCUUCUUUUGUGCAAUGCUUAUUCAUCACGUAACCAAGAGCUUUAGCAACUAGCGGUACUCCACCACAUUUCUUAGCAAUUUCUUCUCCAAUCUUGAUAAGGUCGACAUCCAGCCUAUUUCCUUGCAAUGAAGGAUUCAUAAUAGAAAAACAAUCAUCACUUGAUAAAGCCUCCAAUCUAGUUGGUGGAACGGUAUGAAAUUCUGAAGGUCGGAUGAUAGAUAAUGCUUUAGCAACUUGAUCACUUCGGGUGGUUACUAUUAUCUUGCUCCCUUCGUUACCGUACUGUAACAUUUUCAUCAAUUUCUCCAAACUAUCUCCCCUUUUCUCCCAUAGGUCAUCCAAGACAAUUAAAUAAAUCUUGCCUGAAAGUAUGCGUUGAAGGCAAGAAUUUAGAUUCUGUAGUCUAGUAUCAUUUGCUUGGAGGCUACCUUCAACCUGAGAGAUAAUAGCAGCUACAAUCUUGUUCACAUCAAACUCCAUCGAGACAUGGACCCAUGCUUUGACCUCAAAUAUAUUUGUCUCCUUAGCAACAAAAACAGAUUUUGCAAGUGUUGUCUUACCCAUACCACCAAGUCCAACAAUGGGAAUGAUGGAUAUUUUUGCUGGAUCAUCAUUCUGCAAUGCCAAAUUUAGUAUCCUGGUUUUUUCACUUUCUCUUCCUACCAUCUCAAUUUUAUCACUAGAAACCACAGAUGUUUCUUGGUUAUUCAUGUUCACAGGUCUUGUAUCUGCUAGUUGCAGAAAAUUGAACUUUCUAUGUUCCUCUGCUAUUUUAUCUAGCUCUUCCCUGAUUUUUCUCAUCUUGUUUGACAGGGUGAAGCGUGUGAUUAGUGGAUGGAAUGACAUAAACACCAAUUUAACCUGCAGUAUGUAGUUUGUUACACCAUCAGAAUUUUUUUUAAGUGGGUAUGUGCUGAUUUUAUAUAUUGUUUAAGUAUUAACCGUGCAAUUUUCAAAGCAAAUAUCAUAAUUUCAUAAAAUCAUAAAUUAAUAUUGAGCAUUGACUUUGUGUGAGAAGGCAUAUUGUAAUCUACCCUUAAAAUAGCAAAAAUGUAAUUAUAAAAAAUAGCAAAAAUGAAAGCUAAAAGAAUAAAGAAGCACACUUCAUAAACGUUGCAUUAUCUAUGAGAAUGGAUAAAGGAUUGCUAAAUGUAAUCGCAUGUAUGCGGCUAGGAAACACAAACCUGUGUCUUCAAAAAAAAUUCCAUCACAAGCUUUUUUUACUUCGAAUUCACACCAUUCAAAGAAUAUCAAUUCAAAAUGCUACACAAAAUAUAUAAAAUGUCUAAGCAUAAUUUGUGAAUCUAUAUUAUGUCUUUUAUCUUUUAUGCUUAAGGAUUGACAGACUAAAUCAUGUAAUUAGACAUUUCGAAAGUGAUUUGCAAUAUUGCAUUCAACAUUAUGAUAAGAAUUAGUUCUCAAAAUUGUGCUUGAGACCUGAUGUCAAGAUCAAACAUGAUCACUUUAUUAAAACAUGAUCACUUUAACAUGAUCAAAAUAUGUUUGAUCACUUUAUGAUCAAACAUGAUCACUUUAUGAUCACUUUAUUAAAACAUGAUCACUUUAUUACAAAUUCAUUAAACUUUCGGAUAUGGGAACAAUCUACCAUAAACAAUUUUAAUUAUUAGUCUAUAUGUUAUAAAAAUACAUUUAAGCACUGCAGUUGCAUAACAAAUCAAUAAACACUCAUAAGUUGUAUUUUUAAACCAAGGUACACAGUUGCACUGUCUGCUAUAGCAAUUCCAUCUGUUUACAUAUGCUAAAUAAAAGCUAAAAUGUAGUAGAAUUUUUCACACACAAAAAAAGAAAAUAGCAUGCCAUCGCUGAGCUUUGGUUACUGCUUAGGAAUGCCCUUUUUAUGCGAGGUAGAUGAAGCGAUUUAUUUAAACCUGCACGGUUAAGGAAUAUUAAAUCUAAAAGAAGAAAGUUGUAUACCAUACUAUACAACUUAUUUCAGAUCUAGCCACACUAUCUCAGGACAGUUUGAUAAGUUGACUUGAAAUUAAACAGUGAUGUAAUACUCCAACAAAGAUGUACUCAAACUUAUUAGUUUUUCAUGUUGAUAUGUUGAUGAAAUUUCAAUGUUGCAUGAUUGCAGCAAGCUAAAGUUUCAUGAUAGAUUUUCACCAGUUUCUACCACAACAUAUUUAAGACUAAGGGGGAAAUGAAAAAAUAGGAUAUACAUGUAUAAUGUGGCACACAAAAUAUUCCUAGAGAGGUAUACUAGCAAUUUUAUCAAAUGAAAUAAGCUCUCUAUAUACAUUCAGAGCUCAGAAUAUAGGUAUUACCGGGCAUGUGCUACUCCUCCAUAUCUUUGUAUUUGCCUCCAGCUCAUCAAUCAUGUCUUCAAUGUUGUAGGCAGCAGAUUUGAGCUUCUUGAGCCAAAGCCGGACCGAUUCACUACGUUGGGAGCGUUUCUCAGCAUCCGCCGUCACGGCCUUCACAGUGAUCAAGGUGCCCUUCAUCUCCUCAAAAUCAUCACUGAACCUCUGCAGAAGCUCCACCCUUUCCCAGGCAGCCUGACCAAGCAUGCCAGCCACACGCUGCACAACAGCUCCAGCAAUCAUCUCAGCACCCCCACUCAUGACUAUAGGCCUUGAUCUCUCGCGCACAGGUAUUAUUUGUGCUGCGCCCAAGAUAGCUCAUAGAUAGAACAAAGAUGAUGUGCUCUGCUAUUUAUACUGCUUUCUUUCUUAGCCUGAAGCUUUUGCACCUGAUACCUGGAGUGUAGUGUAGUUGAGUGCUGGGGAUAUCUACUGAAGGCAAAAUGCAUAUAUUCUGAUGCAGAGUUGCACCUUGCAAGCCUCGACCUUUGAGGAAAGGUAUAUGCAUGAUGGCCUCUCAGGAAAGGAACAUAUUUGGUGAAAAAAAGUAAAGAGAAGAACCUCAGAUUAAUUCGAAGAUGUACAAUGAAAAAUGGUAGUUAACAUGAUGCUGAGACCUUCACCUUUUAGUUCAGGAAUGAUGUGGUCCUUCGUCUCUGUGAAGAAAUGAACCUUCGUAAGAAAAGCAUUCUGCAGUUUGCAUUCUUUGAGUAGGACAUACAAAUUGCAGAGAACAAAUGCUGCAUAGCAUGUGCAGGACAUUCAUAAGCCAAGUAUUCUAUCCAGGCUAUGUGAGAAUGCAGGAGCAAAUAGUGGAAUUUGUCAGUUGUCACCUCUUUCUAGUUAAAACCUAUCCAUAAUUCUGAUCGGAGAGUUGAUAUGGACGACUCGAUUCCAAGGGAUGCGUGAACACCCGACUUCCCGCCCGCCAAUUUGUCACUGCAGCGAUCCGCGUCGAUCUGGGCCGUACAAGCCCGAUCCAGCGUCCUGGACAGGCGUCCACCCCCCUAGGGUCCGAUUGGGCGGCGCCAAUGGCGAUGCCUCCGCCGCCAGCUCACCUGGGGCCAAGAUGGUUCGAAGCGUGUUCCAGCUUCCCAGGGAGAAGUUUCCGUCGACUACCUUCAUCUAGGUGGCCGACGCCAUCGCGGCGGCGCGGUUUGACGCAGGGCGCGGGCGGGCGGCGAGCCGGCGAGACUGCGAGCCGUGCAGCGCGUGCUGGUGCCUGGUACGGGUGGAGCUAGGUUCUCGCCCAGAUGGACGGGUUCCAUGGUACGGCAGCACGAGCUCCGCCGGAUGCCAGGAUCUCACCACCUAUGGUGGAUCAUUGACACCCAAAUAUGAAUAGAACUUAGGUAAUUGAGUUAGAAGCAUAUCCAACAGCAACAUUGUACGAUGACCCAGCCAUUAGAGUCGGGGACAAAGCUGGGGAUGCAGUCGUCGUAGUUGUACUAGCUUGUAGGAGAUCGCGUCGUCCCUCUAGCCUCCACCUCGUUUGGCCGGAGACAGCAAGAGUACCCCGUCGCCAACGCCACCGACGGCCGGAACACGCUGUACCCCGUGGAACUCGCCUCCGUCGUCGGCUCGUGCGCAGCGGACCGCCUCCUGAGAUCGCUCCCCGCGGGCGCCGCCGGCGUCGCGGGCUUCUCCCGGUGUCCGCUCUCCCUGCCGUCGCAGCUCUCCUCGCAGCGCGCGUUCGGCAACAAAUUCGCCCUGUGCCUGCCGGACUUCGCCUUGUUCGGCAACACGUCGGUGAACCUGGGGCUCCAGUUCCUCCCCGACCUCGCCUCCGUCAUCCCGUACACCCCGCUCGUGAGGAACCCCCGGAACGACGCUCACUACCUCCCCGUCAAGACCAUCUCGGUGCGCUGGGAUCAGGACGUCGAGGUGUCCAUGCCCCCCGGCGCGCUCGACCUCGACUUCAACACCGGCCGCGGCGGCGUGGUGCUGAGCACGGUGACGCCGUACAUGGCCAUGCGCUCCGACGUGUACCAGAAUAAACGUGUCACGUCAGUAUAUCUGCUCCUCGAUCCAGCAUCUCCAACAGAUUGUAUCCACGGAUAUCCGCAUCUGAUUAAUCGUUAAGUCAACUCCAACACUUCCUUUCCUUCUCCUUUAGCAACGCAAAAUAAAGCCUGAACGUCUCUGCAUAUACAAACACAUAUAACAGGAUCAAACCAUCGAUCUCCAGUUCUCAUUUUCUCAACAACCCAAAGCUCUUCCAGUCGCUAGAAGAAGAGGAAGCACCAUGCCACCUUCGCUGCCACUGCAACCCAGCACCAUGCCUGUUCGCUUCAGCAGCAGCCGCACAGCACUAUAGCUGCUGCUAAUUGGGACACUGGCUAUAGGCCAGCUGCUGCAGCAACUGCAACCCAGCAUGCAUCCUGCAGCUAGCCGUCGCAGUGCGCGCGGCUUCGGCGGCAGGUUCGCGAUGUGCCUCCCGGCCUUCGCUGCAUUCGGCGACACGCCGGUGUACCUGGGGACGGAGUCGCGGGGCCUCGUCGAGUACACGGGCUCCAUCCCGUACGCGCCGCUCCUCGCGAACCCGAGGAACCCCGGCCAGCGGCCACUACAUCCCCGUCAAGGGCAUCUCCGUGAACUGGCACGGCGUGGACGUGGCGGCCUCCCUGCCCAACGGUGCGCUGGACCUCGACGGCCGCACCGGCCGAGGCGGUGUCGUGCUGAGCACGGUCACGCCGUACACCAUCAUGCGGGCGGAGGUGUUCCGCCCGUUGAUCCAGGCGUUCGACGAUGCAAUAACCAGGCUGCAAACCAUGGCGCCAUCAAUUACUGCUACUGAUACUGAUGAGCUGGUACUUAAUUAAUGAGCUGACUGAUACUGAUGAUCAUCUUUGAGCUGAUCGAGAUCAACUCACCUGCAGAGGGAAGAUGAAAGAUGUGAAGCGUGUGCCAGCGGUGAAGCCGUUCCAGCUGUGCUACAACGGCGCCUUCCCGCUGCUGAAGCGGCCGAUCAGCUACGACGUACCAAGGAUCGACCUGGAGCUGGCCGGCGCCAGAAGCAACUGGACUGUGUUCAAUAACAACGACCUGGUGCAGGUGGACGGCGCCAUGUGCGUCGGGAUCCUCGAGAUGGGGCCGGGCGCCAUGCCGGUUGAUGGCGAGCUGGCAAUGGUGAUCGGCGGGAAGACGAUGGAGAACAACCUGCUGGUGUUCGAUCUGGAGAAAGGGGUGCUGGGGUUCAGCAUGUUGUUGGACUUUCAGUUGACCAGCUGCUACAGCUCUAACCUGAGUCGCCUUUGAGCCAGUAACAGAGUGCUGCAGCUUUGUAGGCAAGUGCUGCACUUGUACUCCACCAGCACAAGCUCUGUAGGCAUCUCUGUUUCACGCAUUUUGCAGCAGUAUCAUUGUGGUCCUCAGGCACGAUGCACAACAAAUUUCAGGCCAUCUCUCUCCCUUUUCCCGUUGCCUGUGCUGCACCACUAUGUUUAGAGUCGGAUCCUCACUUGUUAGCUCCAGAUAACUAAUGCUGAUCAAAUGCACUAUGGAUUCAAGAUAAAAUGCAUGAAUUCAUCGACGCAGUUAACAGAUACAACCAAAAAGAAACUCUAUGUAAUGCAAGUUCAUGCAGGCCAGAAUGAAAGCACAGUCGAAUGGAACUGUACCUUAUGCUUUACACAGGCAAGAACAUUUCGACGACACUUUCAGCUUAUGAGGUGGUGGUGCCACGUCGGACCAGCGUGGACGUCCGUGGCGCCACUCCCGGUGGCAGGCGGUGCCAUGCUGAGUACAGUGACGCCGUGCACAACGUCACGGUCAGGUGGCCCGACGUAUUCCUCCCGUCCCCCCCGAUAGUUCGACGAGGCCAUGAACAGGUUCUCCUUGCGCUCUGCAAAACAUGGUGUCAUUAUCCAAGUACAGUACCAAAUAGCACUACCUGGCUGAGCUGAUUAGUCAUGCGUCAACUGAACUCACAUGCAAGGGCAACAUGACCGGCGUGAAGAGCGUGCCGCCGCCAGGUCACCGUCGUGAAGGCGGCGGUUGAGCCUUCGAGCUGUUCUACAACGGUUCUUGAAGUGGCCGGUCAGCUAAGACCCUGGAGAGAGCGACCUGAUGGUGUUCCGUAUGAUUAAUUUCAUGAAUGGAAGGGCGUACUUGUUAGCUUCAGAUAAAAUGCUCAAGAUCAAAUAGAUGAAUUCAUCACCGAAGUUAUAUUAAUUGAUACGGUUGGAAAAAAAACUCUUUACCAAUAUUAAUUGAUACGGUCGGAAAAAAAACUCUUUACCAAUUUCAUGCAGGCAAAGAUAUAAUUAAAGAGACUACGAUCAAGAGAAAAAUCUUGGUAACCGUACCUACAUGAUGCUUUACACAGGCAACGGCAUUUGGACAGAGAUACCCGGCUCUCCUUGUAUACAUAAUGCAUAUGGAAUUUGGACAGCUAACCGUCAUUUCAAACAAAAAGCUAACUAUGAUUUGAGAGGUCGGGUAGUAUAUGGUAGAUCCUUGACAGCCCUCAAGGUGGCCUGCCAAAAAUUGAAAAUAAAAAAUGACUCGAGACUUUAGAAAUUCAUAUUUAGGGGGUGUUUGGCUUAGGGGGGCUAAAGUUUAGCCCUGUCAUAUUGGAUGUUAAGAUACUAAUUAGAAGUAUUAAAUAUAGUCUAAUUACAAAAGUAAUUACACAGAUGGAGUCUAAUUCAUGAGACGAAUCUAUUAAGUCUAAUUAGUCCAUGAUUUGACAAUGUAGUGCUACAAUAACCAUUUGCUAAUGAUGGAUUAAUUAGGCUAAAUAGAUUCAUCUCGCGAAUUAGCCUAGGGGUUCUGCAAUUAGUUUUAUAAUUAGUUCAUGUUUAGUCCUCAUAAUUAGCAUCCGAACAUCCGAUGUUACAGGACUAAACUUUAGCCCCUGGUAUCCAAACACGCCCUUAGUCACUAUUGACUAAUUUGUCCGCACAAUCGUUAGCCAAGUCACAGAAAUUAAAGAAAAGCAUGCACUGUAAGUUAUCUGGCAGAAAAGAAAACAGCAUCGAUAAGGAGGUUCUCACCAUGCUAGAUGAGGUGUGAAGCUUCUUUUACUCGAAUUUGACUUCUGGAAUAUGAGCGAUCUUGUGCUUGUCCUCUCCUUGGCACUUCUCUGACAGUGCUAGGCAGUUGGCGAUCCGCAGUUUCUUUAACCCAGUAAGACGCUGUAUGCUUUCUGGCAGUGAAGAUAGCAUUGGGCAUGAGCCGAUUUCAAUUUGUCUCAAAGAAGUUAAAUCUCCCAGCCAUUCUGGCAGUGUCUCCAAGUCAUAACAGUCCUCUACCAAGAAUACCCGGAGGGAGAUGAAAGAUCGGAUAACCUCUGGCAAUGUUGUAAGACCCGUGAGGGAGCCAAGAGCAAGGUUCUCGAUAGAACAGAGAUACCGGGCCCUAUGCCACGCUUCAGGAGAAGGGGAUGUGCCCGCUAUCAAAAGGUAAUAUGGAGAAGUGAUAGAUGAGAGGUUCCCAAACCCAUGUUCCGGAAAAACGUGAUCGCUAUUCCGUACCGCCCAGGUCACGCUCCUUGGGGGAUAAGGCAGGAAUUUCAACUUUGGGCAAUUAGAAGCAAACAGCAGAUGUAAAUUAGGGAUUAAGAACUCUUCAUCUUCAUUAGACGUUCUCGUUGUCCACCACCCUUCCAAGUUGUCCAUUCCCUCCA